rnacentral:rRNA from 1 species
UGGGGAAUAUUGCACAAUGGGCGAAAGCCUGAUGCAGCGACGCCGCGUGAGGGAUGACGGCCUUCGGGUUGUAAACCUCUUUCAGCAGGGACGAAGCGCAAGUGACGGUACCUGCAGAAGAAGCACCGGCUAACUACGUGCCAGCAGCCGCGGUAAUACGUAGGGUGCAAGCGUUGUCCGGAAUUACUGGGCGUAAAGAGUUCGUAGGCGGUUUGUCGCGUCGUUUGUGAAAACCAGCAGCUCAACUGCUGGCUUGCAGGCGAUACGGGCAGACUUAAGUACUGCAGGGGAGACUGAAUUCCUGGUGUAGCGGUGAAAUGCGCAGAUAUCAGGAGGAACACCGGUGGCGAAGGCGGGUCUCUGGGCAGUAACUGACGCUGAGGAACGAAAGCGUGGGUAGCGAACAGG